CUGCUACAUGUAAAGCUAUCUGAAGAGGGGCUCUCGUUAUAAUAAGGAAACGAAAGCCGCGUGGUUACAGUAGUGGUUCAGUACUAUUUGGGUCGGUAAUCGUACUAAGAGUAUUGAAAAUGAUCAAAGCCCUCUUUUUCGUGUGUCUGAUCUUCGUAACAGCCGGCGCUGGCUUGGUCGAGCUCAAACACGAUGAACAUCAUGGCCACGCCGAGUCUUAUCAAAACAGCAACCUGGAAGCCUUCCAUCCAAUAAAAAUCGAAAUUCCGGUAGUCCAUCACCACCAAGUGCACGCGGUGCAGCUAGACCAUCACCAUUGAAGAUGCAACGCGGAGACGAGCAUGCAUCUUUAACCAAAAUUUAAGUUAUUUAUUGUUUAAAUUGUAAUGUACACGUUGUUAUGCAAUAAAGUUAUACAUGGCUAUUGCUAUAAGA